rnacentral:rRNA from 1 species
UACGUAGGGGGCAAGCGUUGUCCGGAAUCAUUGGGCGUAAAGCGCGUGUAGGCGGCUGAGUAAGUCUGCUCUGAAAGCCCGGGGCUCAACCCCGGGAGGCGGGUGGAUACUGCUCAGCUCGAGUCCGGAAGAGGAGAGUGGAAUUCCUGGUGUAGCGGUGAAAUGCGUAGAUAUCGGGAGGAACACCUGUGGCGAAAGCGGCUCACUGGCUCAUUUCUGACGCUCAGGCGCGACAGCGUGGGGAUCAAACAGG